rnacentral:rRNA from 1 species
UACGUAGGUGGCAAGCGUUGUCCGGAAUUAUUGGGCGUAAAGGGUGCGUAGGCGGGUCUUUAAGUCAGGGGUGAAAUCCUGGAGCUCAACUCCAGAACUGCCUUUGAUACUGAGGAUCUUGAGUUCGGGAGAGGUGAGUGGAACUGCGAGUGUAGAGGUGAAAUUCGUAGAUAUUCGCAAGAACACCAGUGGCGAAGGCGGCUCACUGGCCCGAUACUGACGCUGAGGCACGAAAGCGUGGGGAGCAAACAGG